UUAAAGCUAGCCUAACCAAUCGUAUAAACACAACCUUAUCAAUUAUACCUACACUACUAUUAUUAAAUUAAAACAUUUUAUACCUUUUAGUAUGGGUGACAGAACAAUAAAUAUUAGCGCAAUAGACUAUGUACCGCAAGGGAAAGCUGAAAAAGAAAUGAAAUAAAUAUUAAAGUAACAAAAAGCAGAGACUCAACCUCGUACCUUUUGCAUCAUGAUUUAGCUAGAUCAACUAGGCAAAGAGAUCUUAAGUCUAUCUUCCCGAAACUAAACGAGCUACUCCGAAGCAGCACAUUAGAGCCAACCCGUCUCUGUGGCAAAAGAGUGGGAAGACUUCCGAGUAGCGGUGACAGACCUAUCGAGUUUAGUGAUAGCUGGUUGCCCAAGAAAAGAACUUAAAUUCUGCAUUAAUUUUUUUACCACCAAUUAAGAACAUCUUCUUAAGGUUAAAAAUAAGAAUUAAUAGUUAUUUAGAAGAGGUACAGCCCUUCUAAAUUAAGAUACAACUUUUAAAGGUGGGUAAUGAUCACAUUUUAUUAAAGGUUUUUUCCCCAGUGGGCCUAAGAGCAGCCAUCUGUAAAGUAAGCGUCACAGCUCCAGCUUUAUUUAAACCUAUAAUUUAGAUAUUAUCUCACAACCCCCUUACCUGUAUUGGGUUAUUUUAUAUAAUUAUAAAAGAACUUAUGCUAAAAUGAGUAAUAAGAGGCCAAACCUCUCCUAACACAAGUGUACGUCAGAAAGAAUUAAAUCACUGAUAAUUAAACGAACCCAGACUGAGGACAUAAUAUUAAUUUACCAUUAACUAGAAAACCUUAUUUAACUAUUCGUUAACCCUACACAGGAGUGUCUCAAGGAAAGA
rnacentral:rRNA from 1 species